CCUACGGGGGGCAGCAGUGGGGAAUAUUGGUCAAUGGGCGCAAGCCUGAACCAGCAAUGCCGCGUGAGUGAUGAAGGCCUUCGGGUUGUAAAGCUCUGUCGGGAGGGACGCGGUACCUCCAAAGGAAGCACCGGCUAACUCUGUGCCAGCAGCCGCGGUAAUACAGAGGGUGCAAGCGUUGUUCGGAAUUACUGGGCGUAAAGCGCGUGUAGGCUGCAAGGUUAGUCAGAUGUGAAAGCCCUUGGCUCAACCAAGGAAGUGCAUCUGAUACUGCCUCGCUGGAGUGUCGGAGGGGGUGGCGGAAUUCCCGGUGUAGAGGUGAAAUUCGUAGAUAUCGGGAGGAACACCUGUGGCGAAGGCGGCCACCUGGACACACUGACGCUGAGACGCGAAAGCGUGGGUAGCAAACAGGAUUAGAUACCCGUGUAGUC
rnacentral:rRNA from 1 species